UACGUAGGUGGCGAGCGUUAUCCGGAUUUACUGGGCGUAAAGGGUGUGCAGGCGGGUCAUUAAGUGGUGUAUGAAAUCGCCCGGCUCAACCGGGCGAGGUUAUGCCAGACUGGUGGUCUAGAGAGCGAGAGAGGGACGUGGAAUUCCGGGUGUAGUGGUGAAAUGCGUAGAGAUCCGGAGGAACCCCAGAGGCGAAGGCGGCGUCCUGGCUCGCAUCUGACGCUCAGGCACGACAGCAUGGGGAGCGAACGGG
rnacentral:rRNA from 1 species